AGAGUUUGAUCCAUGGCUCAGAACGAACGCUGGCGGCGUGCCUCAGACAUGCAAGUCGAACGAUUAAAGCUCUCUUCGGAGAGUGUAUAAAGUGGCGCACGGGUGAGUAACACGUAAGUAAUCUACCCUCGGGUGGGGAAUAACAUUCGGAAACGAAUGCUAAUACCGCAUAAUGCAGCGGCUCCUAAUGGAGACAGUUGUUAAAGGAUUUAUUCGCCUGAGGAGGAGCUUGCGGCAGAUUAGCUAGUUGGUAAGGUAAUGGCUUACCAAGGGCUACGAUCUGUAGCCGGUCUAAGAGGACGGUCGGUCACACUGACACUGAAUAACGGGUCAGACUCCUACGGGAGGCAGCAGUCGGGAAUUUUGGGCAAUGGGCGAAAGCCUGACCCAGCAACGCCGCGUGAAGGAUGAAGUAUUUCGGUAUGUAAACUUCGAAAGAAUANGAAGAAUUAAUGACGGUACUAUUUAUAAGGUCCGGCUAACUACNUGCCAGGCAGCCGCGGUAAUACGUAGGGACCAAGCGUUGUUCGGAUUUACUGGGCGUAAAGGGGCGCGUAGGCGGCAUGGCAAGUCACUUGUGAAAUCUCCCGGGCUUAACUCGGAACGGCCANGUGAUACUGCCACGCUAGAGUGCAGAAANGGCAAUCGGAAUUCUUGCGUGUAGCGGUGAAAUGCGUANAUAUCCAAGACGGNCACCUGUAUGCGAA
rnacentral:rRNA from 1 species